UACGAAGGGUGCAAACGUUACUCGGAAUCAUUGGGCGUAAAGCGCCCGUAGGCGGCCUGACAAGUUGGACGUGAAAGCUCCUGGCUUAACUGGGAGAGGCCGUUCAAAACUGUCAAGCUAGAGUCUGGAAGAGGAGAGCGGAAUUCCCGGUGUAGUGGUGGAAUGCGUAGAGAUCGGGAGGAACACCAGUGGCGAAAGCGGCUCUCUGGUCCAAAACUGACGCUGAGGGGCGAAAGCGUGGGGAGCGAACGGG
rnacentral:rRNA from 1 species